rnacentral:rRNA from 1 species
CGGCGUGCCUAAUACAUGCAAGUAGAACGCUGAAGAGAGGAGCUUGCUCUUCUUGGAUGAGUUGCGAACGGGUGAGUAACGCGUAGGUAACCUGCCUUGUAGCGGGGGAUAACUAUUGGAAACGAUAGCUAAUACCGCAUAACAAUGGAUGACACAUGUCAUUUAUUUGAAAGGGGCAAUUGCUCCACUACAAGAUGGACCUGCGUUGUAUUAGCUAGUAGGUGAGGUAACGGCUCACCUAGGCGACGAUACAUAGCCGACCUGAGAGGGUGAUCGGCCACACUGGGACUGAGACACGGCCCAGACUCCUACGGGAGGCAGCAGUAGGGAAUCUUCGGCAAUGGGGGCAACCCUGACCGAGCAACGCCGCGUGAGUGAAGAAGGUUUUCGGAUCGUAAAGCUCUGUUGUAAGUCAAGAACGAGUGUGAGAGUGGAAAGUUCACACUGUGACGGUAGCUUACCAGAAAGGGACGGCUAACUACGUGCCAGCAGCCGCGGUAAUACGUAGGUCCCGAGCGUUGUCCGGAUUUAUUGGGCGUAAAGCGAGCGCAGGCGGUUUGAUAAGUCUGAAGUUAAAGGCUGUGGCUCAACCAUAGUUCGCUUUGGAAACUGUCAAACUUGAGUGCAGAAGGGGAGAGUGGAAUUCCAUGUGUAGCGGUGAAAUGCGUAGAUAUAUGGAGGAACACCGGUGGCGAAAGCGGCUCUCUGGUCUGUAACUGACGCUGAGGCUCGAAAGCGUGGGGAGCGAACAGGAUUAGACACCCCUGGUAGUCCACGCCGUAAACGAUGAGUGCUAGGUGUUGGAUCCUUUCCGGGAUUCAGUGCCGCAGCUAACGCAUUAAGCACUCCGCCUGGGGAGUACGACCGCAAGGUUGAAACUCAAAGGAAUUGACGGGGGCCCGCACAAGCGGUGGAGCAUGUGGUUUAAUUCGAAGCAACGCGAAGAACCUUACCAGGUCUUGACAUCCCGAUGCUAUUUCUAGAGAUAGAAAGUUACUUCGGUACAUCGGUGACAGGUGGUGCAUGGUUGUCGUCAGCUCGUGUCGUGAGAUGUUGGGUUAAGUCCCGCAACGAGCGCAACCCCUAUUGUUAGUUGCCAUCAUUCAGUUGGGCACUCUAGCGAGACUGCCGGUAAUAAACCGGAGGAAGGUGGGGAUGACGUCAAAUCAUCAUGCCCCUUAUGACCUGGGCUACACACGUGCUACAAUGGUUGGUACAACGAGUUGCGAGUCGGUGACGGCAAGCUAAUCUCUUAAAGCCAAUCUCAGUUCGGAUUGUAGGCUGCAACUCGCCUACAUGAAGUCGGAAUCGCUAGUAAUCGCGGAUCAGCACGCCGCGGUGAAUACGUUCCCGGGCCUUGUACACACCGCCCGUCACACCACGAGAGUUUGUAACACCCGAAGUCGGUGAGGUAACCAUGGGAGCCAGCCGCCUAAGGUGGGAU